UACGUAGGGUGCAAGCGUUAAUCGGAAUUACUGGGCGUAAAGCGUGCGCAGGCGGUUUUGUAAAGUCAGAUGUGAAAUCCCCGGGCUUAACCUGGGAACUGCGUUUGAAACUACAAGGCUAGAGUGUGGCAGAGGGGGGUGGAAUUCCACGUGUAGCAGUGAAAUGCGUAGAGAUGUGGAGGAACACCGAUGGCGAAGGCAGCCCCCUGGGCCUGUACUGACGCUCAUGCACGAAAGCGUGGGGAGCAAACAGG
rnacentral:rRNA from 1 species